CCCAACGCUCUGUGAACCGAAUACAAGAGAAGAGAAGUUAAAGUCCAAUUUCAGUGUAACAGCAGGAACUAGCUGCAAACCUUCAAACUUCACAAAUCAGACGACAAACGCAUCUCUGGUCUGUUUAACAGGCGAGUAUGACGUCGCGCAACGCAAGAAUGAGGUCUUCCUCUCAAAGGAACAGAAUGCUGGCCAAGCCCAAAGUACAAAGUGGAAAACGACAAAAGGAAAUGUAUGAGGUCGGUCAACUUUACCAAUAUUAACUGGAAAAAUUGGGGGGAAGGACAACUACGAACACAUGUACAGACAUCAUCCAAUCUAGUGAACUUUUCCACUUUAUUCUCUUGGGGAGAAUAACAAGAUAUUAUGUGAUGAUAUGCACAUAUAAAGCAGGUUGCAAAACUAUGAACUUGUGUCUGCGUGUAUGUAGACACACACACAUACACACACAAGCCAAAAAGUAGAGCGCUUGAGCUCACCUUUAGUGGUCCGUAAAAAUAUUGUGCAGAGGGACCUAAUCCUGUUUUGACUUCCUUUUGAAUUACAGUCUUUUAUAACCCCUUCCAAAAGACCCAAAUGAAAGCCUACCUUAGCUGACCUGUAAUCUUUAUAUUGCUAAAAACGUCAAUGAAUCUUUAAGGAAAUGUUUAUACUUGUGUAUUAAAAUGUCGAAUAUGGUAAAGUACAGGGUAACCUCUAGAAUAACAGUGUUGUUACAGUGUACUGGAAUUGUAACAACUUGCUUAUAAAAAUAAAAUAAAA